rnacentral:rRNA from 1 species
AACGAACGCUGGCGGCAUGCCUAACACAUGCAAGUCGAACGAUGCCUUCGGUCAUAGUGGCGCACGUGUGAUUAACGCGUGGUAACCUGCCCGUUUGUACGGUAUAACUCCGGGAAACUGGAGCUAAUGCCGGAUGUGUCCCCUCUGCCAAAGAUUUAUCGCCACGGGAUGGGCCCGCGUAGGAUUGGCUUGUUGGUGGGGUAACGGCCUACCAAUGCUACGAUCCUUAGCUGGUCUGAGAGGAUGAUCAGCCACACUGGGACUGAGACACGGCACAGACUGCUACGGGAGGCAGCAGUGGGGAAUAUUGGACCAUGGGCGCAAGCCUGAUCCAGCAAUGCCGCGUGAGUGAUGAAGGCCUUCGGGUUGUAAAGCUCUUUCGCACGCGACGAUGAUGACGGUAGCGUGAGAAGAAGCCCCGGCUAACUUCGUG